GAGUUCUUCAUUGUGUUCACAGUGAAACCGUAGAAGGAGAUCUUGGUGCCCACGUCAUUCUCGAAGCCUUUGAUCACCGCACCGUUGAGUCUGGUCCGAACAGAGGCUCAUCAGCCUGCUUGGUGGCUACACGGUACUGGUAGCCCGCCACUGUACCUUUCGUGUCCUAGGAUUUGGUGCCUUGGGUCCAAAGAAAGCUUGAGACAAUGACGUGGUGUUCCUGGGGGAGAAGGCGGAAGUAAAGCUGGGGUCUGACCUGCCCCCGGAGCGUGCUCGUCUGCAGGGAUGAUCAUGCAGGUACGCAGAUGGUCAGAUUGAGACAGGCUGGGGCCUGGGACCCUUUGCUGCAGUGCUUGCGCUUGGACAAACAUCUCCUCGAGCAACAAAAUGCAAAGUAAACUACAAGGGACUAAAGUAGCUGAGUACAUGCGGCGGCUGGGGCAAAUUAUGAACAAAAGAGAUACAGAAAGACCAACAUCUGAGCAGAAGCAGGUAUGCACAUUGACCCUGCACGUGGCACCACUAAGGGGGUGGGCAGGCCACCUAAGCCACCUCUCUGGCCUGACCCCCUGGACCCAUCCCUACUGUCAUCCUGUAGAAGGA